rnacentral:tmRNA from 4 species
GGGGGUGUCUUGGGACUCGACUUGAGUAUGGACACCGGGAAAGCGAGCCGAGGACUCCUUUCACUCGUAAAAUACUGGAAACUUAAAAUUAUCUGCAAACGAUAAUAAUUACGCUUUAGCGGCUGCGUAAGCAUCCGUUACACUUAUAGGUAACUUGUCUGUGGAUGCCUAUAAGUGUCAUAACUAGCAGGCUACUCAUCCUUUGAAGCUUGUAGAAGGAUGGGGAACUUUACAAGCUAGCAACUUUAGAUCCUGCUUCUGGGAGCUAGAGUUGUGAUUUUAAAGCAGAAGCUACGCUCGUAGAACCCCGAGUGGAGAUACUUAAGGACGGCGGUUCGAAUCCGCCCACCUCCACCA